CAAAGUGGAAGCUUCCACAACAUUUUGCACAGGCCUGCAGCUCCACAGGUGAAAGUGCAAUAUGCAGAGCCAUCUGGAAACAAAGACAGCAUGUUUUAAUUGUCAAGAACUUGACAUCCAGUGAGAGCCAAAGCCAAAAUGAACAUGUGCCUUGUACUAAGAAAUCCCAGGAUUGUCACAACUUGUGCCAGCUGUUGAGGUUAUGACACCUGUGCCAGCAUCGCCAGCUCUGCCCACUGUCAUCUGUUCCAACUGUUCCAUCUGCACUGUUUGUACCAAUUCUCCCAUUUCUGCAUCUGUACCUUCUGCAGAAACGUUUCCAACAAUGCCAGCUGUGUCAUU